CGGUGUUUAACUGGCGUGAUGUGGGACGUCCUACCGGUGGGCUUAGCCUCGCGAGGGGCGGCCCAACUAAUAUCCCGUCGCGGUGCUCUUUACUGAGUGUCGAGUCGGGCCGGUACGUUUACUUUGAACAAAUUAGAGUGCUUAAAGCAGGCUAUCCUCGCCUGAAUACUGCGUGCAUGGAAUAAUGGAAUAGGACCUCGGUUCUAUUUUGUUGGUUUUCGGAACCCCGAGGUAAUGAUUAAUAGGGACAGAUGGGGGCAUUCGUAUUGCGACGUUAGAGGUGAAAUUCUUGGAUCGUCGCAAGACGGACAGAAGCGAAAGCAUUUGCCAAAAAUGUUUUCAUUAAUCAAGAACGAAAGUUAGAGGUUCGAAGGCGAUCAGAUACCGCCCUAGUUCUAACCAUAAACGAUGCCAGCUAGCGAUCCGCCGAAGUUCCUCCGAUGACUCGGCGGGCAGCUUCCGGGAAACCAAAGCUUUUGGGUUCCGGGGGAAGUAUGGUUGCAAAGCUGAAACUUAAAGGAAUUGACGGAAGGGCACCACCAGGAGUGGAGCCUGCGGCUUAAUUUGACUCAACACGGGAAACCUCACCAGGCCCAGACACCGGAAGGAUUGACAGAUUGAUAGCUCUUUCUUGAUUCGGUGGGUGGUGGUGCAUGGGCCCGUUCUUAGUUGGUGGAGCGAUUUGUCUGGUUAAUUCCGAUAACGAACGAGACUCUAGCCUGCUAAAUAGGCGUACCUUAUGGUAUCGCGAAGGCCCCCGGCUUCGGCCGGUGGGUUUUUACUACCAACGUACAAACAAAUCUUCUUAGAGGGACAGGCGG
rnacentral:rRNA from 1 species